rnacentral:rRNA from 1 species
CAACAGGGAUUGCCCCAGUAACGGCGAGUGAAGCGGCAACAGCUCAAAUUUGAAAUCUGGCCCCCGGGUCCGAGUUGUAAUUUGUAGAGGAUGCUUUUGGCGAGGUGCCUUCCGAGUUCCCUGGAACGGGACGCCAUAGAGGGUGAGAGCCCCGUCUGGUCGGACACCGAGCCUCUGUAAAGCUCCUUCGACGAGUCGAGUAGUUUGGGAAUGCUGCUCAAAAUGGGAGGUAUAUGUCUUCUAAAGCUAAAUAUUGGCCAGAGACCGAUAGCGCACAAGUAGAGUGAUCGAAAGAUGAAAAGCACUUUGAAAAGAGGGUUAAAAAGUACGUGAAAUUGUUGAAAGGGAAGCGCCUAUGACCAGACUUGGGCCCGGUGAAUCACCCAGCGUUCUCGCUGGUGCACUUCGCCGGGCACAGGCCAGCAUCAGUUUGGCGCGGGGGAGAAAGGCUUCGGGAAUGUGGCUCCCCCGGGAGUGUUAUAGCCCGUUGCGCAAUACCCUGCGCUGGACUGAGGUACGCGCAUUCGCAAGGAUGC